rnacentral:lncRNA from 1 species
CAGGAUAUUGUUAGGUGGGGUAAGCCGCGAUGCCUGCCAGACCAACUUCCAAAUAUCGGAUAAAGUCAUAGUCGGAAUACCGAACCAAAGCACUAACCGAAAUAUGAAAGAAUUUUCGAAUAGCUUAAUGACCGUAUGGAAGAAUUAAUUUUUUUACCCAAACAAGGGGCCUGUCUGAUAUUUAAUAUACUUAUGUUGAACCCAUGUGUCUAGAAGUUCUAACUGUACAAAAGGUCGCCCUGUUUUUCUUCAUCUAUCACGGGCUAAAGAGGCACAACUUACUAGACGUAGUCACUAAGACAAAGCCAACAUAAAUCAUAUUAAACUUGACUGUACCACCAUUUCAGAACCAAGUCAUGAAACUAUAGAAAAAUUCCUUCAUAUUUUGAUAGAGUCUGAAUCUUUCAUAGUUUAGAGUCUGAAUCUUUCAUAGUUACUUGGUAAGAGAAGUUAGAUCUCUGACAUAGAUAUGAAAGGUUUUUAGCCAGACAUAGUCACGGCUGGAAGGGAAGAAAAAGUAUUAAAAAUAUGUCAGAAAAAUAAAUAAAUACCUUAAAAGUGGCCGGAUGUAAGGCCGAAAUAGUAAACGUCGGCUAUCUGCCUUCUUUUAUUAAAGCCUUCAAAUAAUUUACAAAGAAGAGAGAAGGAGGAGCUUUUGCUUAGAGAGAAAGAGAGAAAAUAAAAU